ACUCCGUGCCAGCAGCCGCGGUAAUACGGAGGGUGCAAGCGUUAAUCGGAAUUACUGGGCGUAAAGCGCACGCAGGCGGUUUGUUAAGUCAGAUGUGAAAUCCCCGGGCUCAACCUGGGAACUGCAUCUGAUACUGGCAAGCUUGAGUCUCGUAGAGGGGGGUAGAAUUCCAGGUGUAGCGGUGAAAUGCGUAGAGAUCUGGAGGAAUACCGGUGGCGAAGGCGGCCCCCUGGACGAAGACUGACGCUCAGGUGCGAAAGCGUGGGGAGCAAACAGGAUUAGAUACCCUGGUAGUCCACGCCGUAAACGAUGUCGACUUGGAGGUUGUGCCCUUGAGGCGUGGCUUCCGGAGCUAACGCGUUAAGUCGACCGCCUGGGGAGUACGGCCGCAAGGUUAAAACUCAAAUGAAUUGACGGGGGCCCGCACAAGCGGUGGAGCAUGUGGUUUAAUUCGAUGCAACGCGAAGAACCUUACCUGGUCUUGACAUCCACGGAAGUUUUCAGAGAUGAGAAUGUGCCUUCGGGAACCGUGAGACAGGUGCUGCAUGGCUGUCGUCAGCUCGUGUUGUGAAAUGUUGGGUUAAGUCCCGCAACGAGCGCAACCCUUAUCCUUUGUUGCCAGCGGUCCGGCCGGGAACUCAAAGGAGACUGCCAGUGAUAAACUGGAGGAAGGUGGGGACGACGUCAAGUCAUCAUGGCCCUUACGACCAGGGCUACACACGUGCUACAAUGGCGCAUACAAAGAGAAGCGACCUCGCGAGAGCAAGCGGACCUCAUAAAGUGCGUCGUAGUCCGGAUUGGAGUCUGCAACUCGACUCCAUGAAGUCGGAAUCGCUAGUAAUCGUGGAUCAGAAUGCCACGGUGAAUACGUUCCCGGGCCUUGUACACACCGCCCGUCACACCAUGGGAGUGGGUUGCAAAAGAAGUAGGUAGCUUAACCUUCGGGAGGGCGCUUACCACUUUGUGAUUCAUGACUGGGGUGAAGUCGUAACAAGGUAACCGUAGGGGAACCUGCGGUUGGAUCACCUCCUUACCUUAAAGAAGC
rnacentral:rRNA from 3 species